rnacentral:rRNA from 1 species
GGUUUGUAGCAAUACAGAUGCUGGCGACCGGCAAACGGGUGCGUAACGCGUACGCAACUUACCCAUUACUGGUGAAUAGCCCAGAGAAAUUUGGAUUAAUACCCCAUAGUAUACUGAAGAGGCAUCUCUUUAGUAUUAAAGAUUUAUCACUUGAAGAUGGCUGUGCGGCUGAUUAGGUAGUUGGCGGGGUAAAGGCCCACCAAGCCUGCGAUCAGUAACUGGUGUGAGAGCACGACCAGUCACACGGGCACUGAGACACGGGCCCGACUCCUACGGGAGGCAGCAGUAAGGAAUAUUGGUCAAUGGACGAAAGUCUGAACCAGCCAUGCCGCGUGAAGGAUGAAGGUCCUCUGGAUUGUAAACUUCUUUUAUAUGGGACGAAAAAAGGGUUUUCUAACUCAACUGACGGUACCAUAUGAAUAAGCACCGGCUAACUCCGUGCCAGCAGCCGCGGUAAUACGGAGGGUGCAAGCGUUAUCCGGAUUCACUGGGUUUAAAGGGUGCGUAGGUGGGUUGGUAAGUCAGUGGUGAAAUCCCCGAGCUUAACUCGGGAACUGCCAUUGAUACUAUCAGUCUUGAAUACCGUGGAGGUCAGCAGAAUAUGUCAUGUAGCGGUGAAAUGCUUAGAUAUGACAUAGAAUACCAAUUGCGAAGGCAGCUGGCUACCCGAAUAUUGACACUGAGGCACGAAAGCGUGGGGAUCAAACAGGAUUAGAUACCCUGGUAGUCCACGCCCUAAACGAUGAUUACUCGACAUCAGCGAUACACUGUUGGUGUCUA